GCUAAAGUCAUUUUAAAAGCAACAUACACUAAAAGCUUUACUAUUUGAUUCUCAAACCACUAUUUCACUUUCAAAAUGUUCAUCGUCCUAGAGAAAAUGAUACAUUGAAUAUAAGGCAUCAUGUGCAAUUAACUGUGCUGUUAGUUGUUCCCACCACACAGGUAAAGUUUAGAGGUUCAGACAUUGGCGGAUUUUUUAAACCAACCCUAAAAUUCUUUUCUCUCAUAUCCUUUAGGCCAGGGAAAAUUGUUCCUGUAUUGUAGACUUCAAUCUGUUUCUCAAUUUAUUAGUUAUACAUUAUCUAGCAGCAGCCAUUCAAAAGACAUUUUGGCAGAAAACCUGUUCUUAAAAUGGCUGAGUUUUCAACACCUCAAUGAAAUAACUUUUAGGGCUGGGCUCUUCCUCAGUUUACAAGAGUGGUAACAGUAUGCACCUGUUAUUCCCUUCUCCGGACCUUUGCCUCCCAGUGGGCAGAAGGCUUGCCAAAAGCUGACCGCUCUUGCUGAAAUGUUUUUGUAACUGACAUCACUCAGCCUCUCAGAAUAGCAGUUUUAUCCAAGCUUACAAUUAGUAAAAAGCUUUUGAAGUGCACUGAAACCUUAGCAAGCCAUCCCAGCAGGAGCUGGCUCUUAAGAAGGCUUCUUUUACUCUGCUAGGCCAGAAAAAGUGGCCUGUUAAUAUCACUUUUUAGUCAUGCUUGUGUUUCAAAGAGGUCAACACUUAACCGAGUUAUUCAAUCAAUAAUGUUGCCUUUAAAACAGAAAGGGUGCUGUAAGUACAGUGUGUAAAUCAUUAGUGCUGUUCACUAGCUAUUUUUGAUAUCUGGCUACCUAGUGGGAUUUUCUUUCUUGAUUUUUUUUGCUUGGCAUCCUCAGGUGAGUCCAUAUGACUAGUUCUGGCCAAAGGAGUCAUGAACAGAAGUAGCAUGCAUUACUUCUAGGCCAGAGCAUUUAAUUGCCAGAGUGAAACCCUCAUGAAUUCUUUCCUGCUGCUGCAAUGAUUGACAGCAUUCCAGAUAGUGGCUGUAGCAUCUAUCAAUUUGUCUCUGAAACACAAUAAAAUGAAGAACUCUCAACUGAUCUGCACUGGAUGUACCAACACUGGAUUCUGAAACUGAGCCCAGAAGAUUGGAUGCAGAUUUCAAAGGACAGUACACAUCCAUGCACUCAUGAAAGCCCUUAAAACUCCACACCACAAGGUCAGAUGAAAAUACCAAUGCUAUUUGCUGUUCAUUGUUGUGUGAUGAAACAGAUUGGCAGUAGCUAAUAAUAUUUCUACAAUUUAUACCUAUGCAAAUUUAAAGCCUAUAUUAAUUAAACACAAAAGCUAUGUUGAAACAUCAA